AUUGAACGCUGGCGGCAGGCCUAACACAUGCAAGUCGAGCGGAUGAAGGGAGCUUGCUCCUGGAUUCAGCGGCGGACGGGUGAGUAAUGCCUAGGAAUCUGCCUGGUAGUGGGGGACAACGUUUCGAAAGGAACGCUAAUACCGCAUACGUCCUACGGGAGAAAGCAGGGGACCUUCGGGCCUUGCGCUAUCAGAUGAGCCUAGGUCGGAUUAGCUAGUUGGUGAGGUAAUGGCUCACCAAGGCGACGAUCCGUAACUGGUCUGAGAGGAUGAUCAGUCACACUGGAACUGAGACACGGUCCAGACUCCUACGGGAGGCAGCAGUGGGGAAUAUUGGACAAUGGGCGAAAGCCUGAUCCAGCCAUGCCGCGUGUGUGAAGAAGGUCUUCGGAUUGUAAAGCACUUUAAGUUGGGAGGAAGGGUUGUAGAUUAAUACUCUGCAAUUUUGACGUUACCGACAGAACAAGCACCGGCUAACUCUGUGCCAGCCGCCGCAGUAACAC
rnacentral:rRNA from 1 species